rnacentral:rRNA from 1 species
GACGAACGCUGGCGGCGUGCUUAACACAUGCAAGUCGAACGGAAAGGCCCUGCUUUUGUGGGGUGCUCGAGUGGCGAACGGGUGAGUAACACGUGAGUAACCUGCCCUUGACUUUGGGAUAACUUCAGGAAACUGGGGCUAAUACCGGAUAGGAGCUCCUGCUGCAUGGUGGGGGUUGGAAAGUUUCGGCGGUUGGGGAUGGACUCGCGGCUUAUCAGCUUGUUGGUGGGGUAGUGGCUUACCAAGGCUUUGACGGGUAGCCGGCCUGAGAGGGUUACCGGCCACAUUGGGACUGAGAUACGGCCCAGACUGCUACGGGAGGCAGCAGUGGGGAAUAUUGCACAACGGGCGGAAGCCUGAUGCAGCAACGCCGCGUGCGGGAUAACGGCCUUCGGGUUGUAAACCGCUUUCGCCUGUGACGAAGCGUGAGUGACGGUAAUGGGUAAAGAAGCACCGGCUAACUACGUG